CGGCGGGGCCUGCUCGCCGCACCCCCCGGGCACACACAUGGUAGCUAGAAUAUCAGUGGUUUGGCCUCGCCGCAGCAGCGGAUGGAAGCACAUUCAAUCAAUAUUCUGCCAUAAAGAAGAAAGCAGAGGAAAGAUGAAAUCUAAUGAUGCUUGGUUUUAAUAGCACCAAUAUCCUUUUUCAAGCUCUCAUUGUCUCAGACAGCACAGAUUUGAGAAAAUAAUCCGGAUGAGAGCUUGAUCGAAUUGAUAUCAAAGAAGAAAAUUCAGAGUUACUUGAAAAGCUACGUUCUACAGCCUGACAUACGCAGGCUGCAUCUCGGUUUUUCAGCAGAUUUUAUCACAACAAAUAAACAUAUUUUA